rnacentral:rRNA from 1 species
UACGUAGGGUGCAAGCGUUGUCCGGAAUUAUUGGGCGUAAAGCGCGUGUAGGCGGCUUUGCAAGUCGGGUGUGAAAGCCCUCAGCUCAACUGAGGAAGUGCGCCCGAAACUGCAGAGCUUGAGUACCGGAGAGGAUGGCGGAAUUCCCCAAGUAGAGGUGAAAUUCGUAGAUAUGGGGAGGAACACCGGUGGCGAAGGCGGCCAUCUGGACGGAUACUGACGCUGAGACGCGAAAGCGUGGGGAGCAAACAGG